GUCCACGCUGUAAACGAUGAUUACUAGGUGUGGGGAUUGACCCUUCCGUGCCGGAGUUAACACAAUAAGUAAUCCACCUGGGGAGUACGACCGCAAGGUUGAAACUCAAAGGAAUUGACGGGGCCCGCACAAGCAGUGGAGUAUGUGGUUUAAUUCGACGCAACGCGAAGAACCUUACCAAGUCUUGACAUCCCUUGACGAACAUAGAAAUAUGUUUUCUCUUCGGAGCAAGGAGACAGGUGGUGCAUGGUUGUCGU
rnacentral:rRNA from 1 species